UAUGUAGGGUGCGAGCGUUGUCCGGAAUUAUUGGGCGUAAAGAGCUCGUAGGCGGUUUGUCGCGUCGGCCGUGAAAACUUGGGGCUUAACCCCAAGCCUGCGGUCGAUACGGGCAGACUUGAGUUCGGCAGGGGAGACUGGAAUUCCUGGUGUAGCGGUGAAAUGCGCAGAUAUCAGGAGGAACACCGGUGGCGAAGGCGGGUCUCUGGGCCGAUACUGACGCUGAGGAGCGAAAGCGUGGGGAGCGAACAGG
rnacentral:rRNA from 1 species